AUUGAACGCUGGCGGAAUGCUUUACACAUGCAAGUCGAGCGGCAGCACGGGGGCAACCCUGGUGGCGAGCGGCGAACGGGUGAGUAACACAUCGGAACGUGCCCGAUCGUGGGGGAUAACGCAGCGAAAGCUGUGCUAAUACCGCAUACGAUCUACGGAUGAAAGCGGGGGACUCGCAAGGGCCUCGCGCGGACGGAGCGGCCGAUGGCAGAUUAGGUAGUUGGUGGGAUAAAAGCUUACCAAGCCGACGAUCUGUAGCUGGUCUGAGAGGAUGGUCAGCCACACUGGGACUGAGAUACGGCCCAGACUCCUACGGGAGGCAGCAGUCGAGAGGCUUCGGCAAUGGGGGAAACCCUGACCGAGCGACGCCGCGUGAGGGAUGAAGGCCCUUGGGUUGUAAACCUCUUUUGUUCGGGAAGAAGUGCGAUCAGGUGAAUAAUCUGGUCGUUUGACGGUACCGGACGAAUAAGCUCCGGCUAACUCCGUGCCAGCAGCCG
rnacentral:rRNA from 1 species